rnacentral:rRNA from 1 species
AACGAACGCUGGCGGCAUGCCUAACACAUGCAAGUCGAACGAGACCUUCGGGUCUAGUGGCGCACGGGUGCGUAACGCGUGGGAAUCUGCCCUUGGGUUCGGAAUAACAGUUGGAAACGACUGCUAAUACCGGAUGAUGACGAAAGCCCAAAGAUUUAUCGCCCAAGGAUGAGCCCGAGUAGGAUUAGCUGGUUGGUGAGGUAAAGGCCCACCAAGGCGACGAUCCUUAGCUGGUCUGAGAGGAUGAUCAGCCACACUGGGACUGGGACACGGCCCAGACUCCUACGGGAGGCAGCAGUGGGGAAUAUUGGACAAUGGGCGAAAGCCUGAUCCAGCAAGGCCGCGUGAGUGAUGAAGGCCUUAGGGUUGUAAAGCUCUUUUACCCGGGAUGAUAAUGACAGUACCGGGAGAAUAAGCUCCGGCUAACUCCGUG